rnacentral:rRNA from 1 species
UACAGAGGGUGCAAGCGUUAAUCGGAAUUACUGGGCGUAAAGCGUGCGUAGUCGGUUAUUUAAGUCGGGCGUGAAAGCCCCGGGCUCAACCUGGGAAUUGCGUUCGAUACUGGAUAGCUAGAGUUCGGCAGAGGGAAGCGGAAUUUCGGGUGUAGCGGUGAAAUGCGUAGAUAUCCGAAGGAACAUCAGUGGCGAAAGCGGCUUCCUGGACCAGAACUGACGAUCAGGCACGAAAGCGUGGGGAGCAAAAGGG